GACGAACGCUGGCGGCGUGCUUAACACAUGCAAGUCGAACGGAAAGGCCCUGCUUUUGUGGGGUGCUCGAGUGGCGAACGGGUGAGUAACACGUGAGUAACCUGCCCUUGUCUUUGGGAUAACUUCAGGAAACUGGGGCUAAUACCGGAUAGGAGAUCCUGCAGCAUGGUGGGGGUUGGAAAGUUUCGGCGGUUGGGGAUGGACUCGCGGCUUAUCAGCUUGUUGGUGGGGUAGUGGCUUACCAAGGCUUUGGCGGGUAGCCGGCCUGAGAGGGUGACCGGCGACACUGGGACUGAGAGACGGCCCAGACUCCUACGGGAGGCAGCGGUGGGGAAUAUUGCACAAUGGGCGGAAGCCUGAUGCAGCAACGCCGCGUGCGUGAUGCCGGCCUUCGGGUUGUAAACCGCUUUCGCCUGUGACGAAGCGGGAGUGACGGUAAUGGGUAAAGAAGCACCGGCUAACUACGUG
rnacentral:rRNA from 1 species